GAUGAACGCUGACAGAAUGCUUAACACAUGCAAGUCAACUUGGUGGCGGACGGGUGAGUAACGCGUAAAGAACUUGCCUCUCAGCUAGGGACAACAUUUGGAAACGAAUGCUAAUACCUGAUACUGUGAGAGAGCUUUGCGUCCCAUUAGCUAGUUGGCGAGGUAACGGCUCACCAAGGCGAUGAUGGGUAGCCGGCCUGAGAGGGUGAUCGGCCACAAGGGGACUGAGGCACGGCCCUUACUCGUACGGGAGGCAGCAGUGAGGAAUAGUGGUCAAUGGACGCAGUCUGAACCAGCCAAGUAGCGUGCAGGAUGACGGCCUAUGGGUUGUAAACUGCUUUUAUAUGGGGAGAGGUACCGGAUGAAUAAGGACCGGCUAAUUCCGUGCCAGCAGCCGCGGUAAUAC
rnacentral:rRNA from 1 species